UGAUGAGCCAGAUGGCAGAGGGGCUGCUUCAGCCACAUUGUCUUCCAAGGUGAUGUGACAGCAUACUCAGCCCGCCCGACCCCACUGAGGAGAAAACUGCUACCAUUAGUAAACAGGGUUAAAUCAGCCUAAGCGAGGGGAUGUUCAAGGGUGUCCGGUCUGCUUGCAGACACUUCAUCUGAGAGUUCCACACAGUCAUGGUCAAGACUGAGAAGGGUUUCAGUGUGAACGCAUGGAUAUCCAGCGGUGCCUGUGUGAAUCCAUCAGGGUGUCAAUAGCAUGGGGGACCUUGAGGCAAGUAGGCUGUCCAAGAGUCAGCUUCUUUGCCUCAUUAAGCAAGAGAUUGUGGCAGAAAGAGAACGCAGGCAAGGGGGCCACCCAGCGGCCACUGUGUCAAGGUGUUUGGACAGCCUUCAGGGACUGAUUGAAGGCAGUAUGUGAGGGAGAUCAAAAUUGAAAGUUGCCCUGAGAAAUUCAGCCAGGAAGAAUGCCAAGGCCCCACAGACAGAUAAGCUCCGGGCUUGUGCCGGGGCAGUCCAAGGUCCUUGAUAAAACUUCAGCACUGAGACCCCAGGUGCAAAAAGCAACUUUCCAACAAAG
rnacentral:lncRNA from 1 species